UUGUGUAUGCUAAAAAUUGAUUUCACUUCUGAAUCAACAUGUUCAGAUUUUGAACAAUGUUCAGACUCUGAUAUAGAGUAAACACAUACGAGAAAAUAUAAAGUUCAUAAGUAAAUGCAAGCAACACCCAAAAAUUAUCUUGGUUCCUCUCCUCAACUAAGAAUGGUUCAGUCCCCUUGCCUCAAUAAGAGCUUUCCACUAUAACAAAAC
rnacentral:lncRNA from 1 species